GUGGGGCGGCUUGGGGAGGUUUCAAAGCUCCAGGCAUUGGCUAGUUUGCAUUCUUGUCCUCUGUUAGAGGAUUUAAGUGAAUGGAGUCAAUGGGAGCUUAUAUUCAAACCUUUCCAUGGCUCCCUCAAAGAUUUUAUUGAAAGACAUGCAGCAAAUACAGGCUUGGCAGCGUUGGAGGUGGCGCCAAGUUUGUUGCUCAGAAUCACUUCCGACACAGGAGACACGUAUUUCUCCAACGCCGCCUUGACCCUUGACCCCGUGGGGACAGCUGGUCACCUCGUGUCCAUUGUUGUAGCCGAUGGGAUCACAAAUGCUCCCACGGCCCUCCUGGCGAAUCAUAUGCAGAGUUCCCUGGCGGCGGCUGUGGCUGAAGAAGAUCUGUCUCGAGCUGAAGAGGACAUGUCAUGUUACACUACAGUGGCAAAUUUCCUUUUGGAGUGUUUGGUUCGAAUUCCGAAUAGAAUCUGUCAGGCUCUUUUGCAGCAGGUUAGUUGCACUGUAUUUACAAGUCUUUAUACAGCCGAACAUGUUCAUCCAUUUAAGCCGAUUGUCCGUUAAAUUGAAAAUGACCUUUUUUCUUCGUCCAUCCAAAUAUUGUACAUACAGUAAAUGUUAAAAACAAACUUCAAACUGUUUGAAAAGCUUUAAAGUGAAAAGCAAAUUAGUGUUUAACCAAAUGUUUCUGGGUAAAACCUGUAGUCUGUUUUAUGCUACUGCAACAGUUAAACGAUUUGGCGACUCCAGGGCGUGUCAAACUGAUUUUUGUCGCGGGCCACUUUGGAAUUACGUCUUCUCUCGGAGCGCCGUUAUUACAGUGAAACCACAAAAUUGUUUAAUCGUCUCACAACAAAUGAAUGUUUGUUUUGAAUGAAUGUUUGGAAAUCAGUCAACUCAACAACAAUCGUUUGUUUAAUUGUAAUUCAAGCGAGUGGAAACAGGGCAACAUCAUUAUUGCAAAAUCUCAACGUUAU